rnacentral:misc_RNA from 1 species
GUCUGAACUAACAAAUAAGCACCUAAGUUUGGAAGUAUGCGCGGCAUCAGACAAAUACGUAAGUUAAACCAUGGUGAGCCACCGACAAUUGACGCCCAAACUUUACUCCAAGCACUGAAUCAGGAUUCCCCUGCGCACUGGCGAAUUCGGGGACACAGCAAACGGCGUGCGCACCUUAAGACUUCGCGGAGGGUAGUAGAUACCGGCGUGGAUGACCUCGCUGUUGCGGGAACUGGUGCCGGUGCCGAAACUGGGGGCCGCCUCGACCACGACUACCUCGCGCCCGGCCAUCGCCAGCGCGCGCGCCGCCGCGAGCCCGACGACGCCCGCUCCCACCACCACGGCGUCCGCCGCCUCCCGCGGGGCCCCCGAGGCGAGGCCUCUCGCCUCGGUGCCCCACGACCGGCCGGCCCGGACAAGGCGCCGCAGCAGGAGCAUGCCAGCUGGCCGUGGCCGCUGCCUCGUCGGAGCUUUGUUUGGCUAAGGCUAGGAUCAGCGUCUUUCUAUCAUCUUCUGUUCU